GUGUACAUGGUAUCAUUGUGGAACACAAUUUAUGUCUUCUGAUCAAGAAGUUCAGACAUAUUAUUCAAUAUUCAGUGUCUCUGGAGUUGGACUUUGGACAAAUGGUUCCAUCUCCAGAGCUUCAAUUUGGUGAUAGAGGAGACCACGUCUGUGAACCACUAUGAGGGCAGUGUCCAAAAGCAGCAAGAACUCUUGAAAGAGGAAUGUUUUCACAGCGAUGUAAGAAAUAAAAACUAUCAAAAUCCAGAGGCAGAAUCACAGAAUCAUCAAGGUUCAAAGAGAUCCUCAAAUCUUCUAGCCAACUGUCAGCCUAGCACCAGCAUCAUCACUCUUAAACCAUAUGCCCAAGAUCUAUGCCUCUUGAGCAUUUUGACAGAUGGUGACUCACCACCUCCUUG
rnacentral:lncRNA from 1 species